AGCACCAAAAAGGCAUUCUCAGGAUUCGAACAUGUGCACUUGCUUGGUGUGAAAGGAGGGAAGCAGCGACAGCGCACUGAUCCCCUUUAUGCCCAUAUUAGGUAGUGCUGACGUAGCAGCCGACCAGGAAGUAAACACAGAGACUUGACUCAAUAUAUCUUUCAUUGUUGCAUAAGAAAGCCAUGGCUCUGCUCAUUUUAAAAACAAGAGGAGGAAAUGAGCAGCAGAAAAACAAGGAACCGCUGCAUCCUUUAAGAAUGGCUUUCAGAGUUUAAUCAUGUUUGAUGUGGAGUGGAGACGAGAGAGCCAAGUCUGUGUUCGGGCGGUGUCACCUUCCAUCUUUCCGUACACUGACCUUCUGAGAGGCCUUUGAGGAGCAACGAGCAACCAUAGAAGGGAAGGUCAAUUCUCUCAUCAUUCUGCCAACUGCCGCUUUUCAAUCAAACACCAAGGCUCAUCUGUCUGCUUCUUCUAAAUGGUGCUCAACAAAACAAUAAAAUAGUUACCAAAUGCUGUUGGAAAAAAACUGUGAAAUUCAUUUCACAGACUAUGAAUGCGUGUUAUAUUCUAUUUUUCGGAUCAACAUGGUUGG